rnacentral:rRNA from 1 species
GUGGGGAAUUUUGGACAAUGGGCGCAAGCCUGAUCCAGCAAUGCCGCGUGCAGGAAGAAGGCCUUCGGGUUGUAAACUGCUUUUGUACGGAACGAAACGGUCCUGGUUAAUACCUGGGGCUAAUGACGGUACCGUAAGAAUAAGCACCGGCUAACUACGUGCCAGCAGCCGCGGUAAUACGUAGGGUGCGAGCGUUAAUCGGAAUUACUGGGCGUAAAGCGUGCGCAGGCGGUGCUGUAAGACAGGCGUGAAAUCCCCGGGCUCAACCUGGGAAUGGCGCUUGUGACUGCAAAGCUGGAGUGCGGCAGAGGGGGAUGGAAUUCCGCGUGUAGCAGUGAAAUGCGUAGAUAUGCGGAGGAACACCGAUGGCGAAGGCAAUCCCCUGGGCCUGCACUGACGCUCAUGCACGAAAGCGUGGGGAGCAAACAGGAUUAGAAACCCCUGUAGUCC